CGGGAUAACACCUGGAAACAGAUGCUAAUACCGGAUAACAACAGAUGAUGCCUAUCAACUGUUUAAAAGAUGGUUCUGCUAUCACUCUUGGAUGGACCUGCGGUGCAUUAGCUAGUUGGUAGGGUAACGGCCUACCAAGGCGAUGAUGCAUAGCCGAGUUGAGAGACUGAUCGGCCACAUUGGGACUGAGACACGGCCCAAACUCCUACGGGAGGCAGCAGCU
rnacentral:rRNA from 1 species